GUAGUCGUGGCCGAGUGGUUAAGGCAAUGGAUUUCCAUUUCAUUGGGGUACCCCACGCAGGUUCGAAUCCUGCCGGUUUCU